ensembl:rRNA 5S_rRNA 5S ribosomal RNA
GUCUACGGCCAUACCACCCUGAACGUGCCCAAUCUUGUCUGAGCUCAGAAGCAAAGCAGGGUCGGGCCUGAUUAGUACUUGAAUGGGAGAAUGUGUGAAAAUAAAUAUAUACAUUGGGAACUAUGGGGUCAUUAAAA